rnacentral:rRNA from 1 species
CUCUUCGGUUAAUACCCGGAGACGAUGACAUUAGCUGCAGAAUAAGCACCGGCUAACUCUGUGCCAGCAGCCGCGGUAAUACAGAGGGUGCAAGCGUUAAUCGGAAUUACUGGGCGUAAAGCGAGCGUAGGUGGCUUGAUAAGUCAGAUGUGAAAUCCCCGGGCUCAACCUGGGAACUGCAUCUGAAACUGUUAGGCUAGAGUAGGUGAGAGGGAGGUAGAAUUUCAGGUGUAGCGGUGAAAUGCGUAGAGAUCUGAAGGAAUACCGAUGGCGAAGGCAGCCUCCUGGCAUCAUACUGACACUGAGGCUCGAAAGCGUGGGUAGCAAACAGGAUUAGAUACCCUGGUAGUCCACGCCGUAAACGAUGUC